AGGGACUAUCGGGGAUGACUAGCCAAUACAUCCAAAGGAGGUAGUUAUACCAAAAAUCGUAAUGAAUGAUUUGAUAAUUACGAUAAUCCUAAGGGAAACCAAUCCAAUAAUAACUCUACGAACUGAAACAUCUAAGUAGUAGAAGGAAAAGAAAUCAACCGAGAUCCCGUUAGUAGUGGUGAGCGAAAGCGGGUUAGCCUAUUUUUUAGUGAGUUUCUGGGGCGAAAGUCCCCAGAAACUCGAAAAUUUAAUUCGAAUUUGUUUGGAAUGACAAACCAUAGAGGGUGAAAGUCCCGUGAUAAAAAAAAUUAGUCCCGCAUAAUGCGGGCUUACUAAAAAUAGUAAGUAAGAUGAGAGAUAACUUGUCUGAAUAUAGGGGAACCAUCCUCUAAGGCUAAAUAUGAUGUAUUGAGCGAUAGUGAAGAGUACCGUGAGGGAACGUUGAAAAGAAAGUAGAUAACUGGUGAAAAGAUCCUGAACCGGUAGUUCUAUAAGCAGCAGGAAUCUUAGUUUAAAUACAAGAUGACUGCGUACCUUUUGCAUAAUGGGUCAGCGAGUUAAUCUGUGGUGCAAGUAGAAAUACUUAGCGAAAGCGACUACGUUAAAUGGGUAAGUACCAUGGAUUAGACCCGAAACCAGGUGAUCUUAUCAUGACCAGGUCAUUAAGGACCGAACCAGUGUUUGUGGCAAUAAACUUGGAUGAGUUGUGAUAAGCAGAGAAAGUCAAAUCUGACCUGGAGAUAGCUGGUAUUCCGCGAAACAUAUUUUGGUAUGUUGUCCUUCGUAUCUGUAAACUGGUACAGCACUGGAUACUAUGUCCCUUGUGGACUUGAUUGGGGGGUCGUGAUGGCUCUAUCAAUAGAAUCGGUUGUAAAACCGAUUCCCGAAUUUUUUUGUUUGGGAAUCUAACCUCAGAAUGGUUUAUAGUUAAUAAAGGACGGUCAGACUAUAGGUGCUAAGGUCUUUAGUCGAGAGGGAAACAGCCCAGAACAAAAAUUAAGGUCCCUAAAUACUACUAAGUGAAAUUAAGGUAGUCCAUAAAAUUACACAACCAUUCGGUGGGCUUGGAAGCAGCCAUCCGUUAAUGAAAGCGUAAUAGCUCAAUGGUCUGUAAUAAUAAGUUUUAAGGGCACCGACAAUGUAUCGGGUCUAAGUAGUAUACCGAGAUUUUGUCCCAAUGGAAUUAAUGACAUUGGAGGGUAGCGGAACACUCAGGACAUGGUUGAAGGAUAGGGUUUCCUUAUCUGGACAUAACUGAGGAGAGAAUGCUGACAUGAGUAACGUAAAAGUGGGUAAGAUCCCACUCGCCGAAAGCAGAAGGGUUUCAUGGCUGGGCUCAACCUCCAUGAGUAAAGUAACGGCCUCUAAGGUUUUUUAACAAUCGGUCACGGACCCACUAUUACCGGGAAUCGGUGUGGUGUUCAUACUCCGUGACUUUUUUAAGAUUGGAACCCCGAUAGGGGUAACUGAUGAGAAAAACUGAUUUAAAUAACAAUUCGGGAAUCCAUACAUAUCGGUAACGGUAUAGUUGUAAUUCCCGAAUUCAGGAAAUGAUUUACCCCGCGCGGCGGCACCAUUUAGGUGUCAUUCCGCGCGGGGCUGAUAUUUAACCGUACCCUAAACCGACACUGGUCUGCUGGUAGAAUAUACCAAGGCGUUGAGCGAAUCAUCUUGAAGGAACUCGGCAAAAUGACCCCGUAACUUCGGGAGAAGGGGUACGACUUUUAUGGUCGUGGCACAGAAUAGAAGAGUACGACUGUUUACUUAAAACACAGGUCUUUGCUAAUAGGAAACUAGAUGUAUAAAGACUGAUACCUGCUCAGUGCUGGUAAGUCAAGAGAGGUACUAAUACGGUACUGAUUGAACCUCCAGUAAACAGCGGUUGUAACUAUAACGAUCCUCAGGUAGCGAAAUACCUUGGCCACUAAUUAUGGUCGUGCAUGAAUGGUUUAACGAUACUCUUACUGUCUCCAAGAUGAGCUCAGUGAAAUUGAAUUAUCCGUGCAGAUGCGGAUUACCAUUAGCUAGACGGGAAGACCCUAUGCAGCUUUACUGUAGUUAGUCAUUGUGUGCUUAUAAUUAAGGUGUAGAAUACAAGGGAGUCGAUUAGACAUCAGUGAAAUACCUUGACUUAAUUAGGAGCAUGCUAAACGGAAUUUUCCGGACAGUGAUUAAUGGGCAGUUUAUCUGGGGCGGAUUUCUCCCAUAUAGUACCGGAGAAGUACAAAGGUCGGCUUAAAUCCGAUGGAAACGGAUGGGCUAAAGAGAGCCUAAUUAAGUGUAAUGGCAUAAGCCGGCUUAACUGUAAGACCCACAAGUCAUACAGAUACGCAAGUAGGUCAUAGUGAUCCGGUGGUUCAUUAUGGAAUGGCCAUCGCUCAACGAAUAAAAGCUACGCUAGGGAUAACAGGCUGAUCAAUCCCGAGAGUCCAUAUUGACGGAUUGGUUUGGCACCUCGAUGUCGACUCAUCACAUCCUGGGGGUGUAGGCGCUCCCAAGGGUUCGGCUGUUCGCCGAGUAAAGUGGUACGUGAGUUGGGUUAAGUACGUCGUGAGACAGUACGGUUCCUAUCUACUAAUGGAAUUAGAAUCAAACAAGAACCUGCCCCUUGUACGAGAGGAUCGGGGUGGACUAAUCUCUGGUAUACCAGUUAUUGUUUCUUUCCCUUUUGGGAUAAGUACAGUACGGCUGGAAAGCUACAUUAGGAAAGGAUAACCGCUGAUAGCGUCUUAAGCGGGAAGCCUGUCUUGACAUGAUUCUUUAAUAGAGUGACUGUAGAUCACAGUCUUAAUAGGUUGCAGGUGUAAGCGGAGUAAUCCGUUAAGCUGGGCAAUACUAAAUUCUUAAGUAACUUGG
rnacentral:rRNA from 1 species